rnacentral:rRNA from 1 species
CCUACGGGAGGCAGCAGUGAGGAAUAUUGGUCAAUGGUCGGGAGACUGAACCAGCCAAGCCGCGUGAGGGAUGAAGGUACAGAGUAUCGUAAACCUCUUUUGUCAGGGAACAAAGACGGGGACGUGUCCCCGGAUGAGUGUACCUGAAGAAAAAGCAUCGGCUAACUCCGUGCCAGCAGCCGCGGUAAUACGGAGGAUGCGAGCGUUAUCCGGAUUUAUUGGGUUUAAAGGGUGCGCAGGCGGUCUGUUAAGUCAGCGGUCAAAGCCCGGGGCUCACCCCCGGCCCGCCGUUGAAACUGGCAGUCUCGAGUUGGAGAGAAGUAUGCGGAAUGCGCGGUGUAGCGGUGAAAGGCAUAGAUAUCGCGCAGAACUCCGAUUGCGAAGGCAGCAUGCCGGCUCCACACUGACGCUGAGGCACGAAAGCGUGGGUAUCGAACAGGAUUAGAUACCCGAGUAGUC